rnacentral:rRNA from 1 species
UACGUAUGGAGCGAGCGUUGUCCGGAAUUAUUGGGCGUAAAGGGUACGCAGGCGGUUUAAUAAGUCGAAUGUUAAAGAUCGGGGCUCAACCCCGUAAAGCAUUGGAAACUGAUAAACUUGAGUAGUGGAGAGGGAAGUGGAAUUCCUAGUGUAGUGGUGAAAUACGUAGAUAUUAGGAGGAAUACCAGUAGCGAAGGCGACUUUCUGGACACAAACUGACGCUGAGGUACGAAAGCGUGGGGAGCAAACAGGAUUAGAUACCCUGGUAGUC